UACGGAGGGUGCGAGCGUUGUCCGGAAUCACUGGGCGUAAAGGGCGCGUAGGCGGCGCGGGAAGUCCGUGGUGAAAGCCCGAGGCUCAACUUCGGGUCGGCCAUGGAUACUCCUGGGCUUGAGCACUGUAGAGGCAGGUGGAAUUCCGGGUGUAGCGGUGGAAUGCGUAGAGAUCCGGAAGAACACCGGUGGCGAAGGCGGCCUGCUGGGCAGUAGCUGACGCUGAGGCGCGACAGCGUGGGGAGCAAACAGGAUUAG
rnacentral:rRNA from 1 species